rnacentral:rRNA from 1 species
UACGUAGGAGGCAAGCGUUGUCCGGAGUUACUGGGCGUAAAGAGCUCGUAGGUGGUUUGUCGCGUUGUUCGUGAAAUCUCACGGCUUAACUGUGAGCGUGCGGGCGAUACGGGCAGACUAGAGUACUGCAGGGGAGACUGGAAUUCCUGGUGUAGCGGUGGAAUGCGCAGAUAUCAGGAGGAACACCGGUGGCGAAGGCGGGUCUCUGGGCAGUAACUGACGCUGAGGAGCGAAAGCGUGGGGAGCGAACAGG